UACGUAGGGAGCAAGCGUUGUCCGGAAUCAUUGGGCGUAAAGCGCGCGUAGGCGGCUCGAUCAGUCUGUUGUGAAAGUCAAAGGCUCAACCUUUGAAUGCCGAUGGGUACUGUCGAGCUAGAGUCCGGAAGAGGCGAGUGGAAUUCCUGGUGUAGCGGUGGAAUGCGCAGAUAUCAGGAGGAACACCAACGGCGAAGGCAGCUCGCUGGGACGGUACUGACGCUAAGGCGCGAAAGCGUGGGGAGCGAACAGG
rnacentral:rRNA from 1 species